rnacentral:rRNA from 1 species
UGUUUGAUGUUCUAACGUGGACCCGUGAUCCGGGUUGCGGACAGUGUCUGGUGGGUAGUUUGACUGGGGCGGUCUCCUCCUAAAGAGUAACGGAGGAGCACGAAGGUUGGCUAAUCCUGGUCGGACAUCAGGAGGUUAGUGCAAUGGCAUAAGCCAGCUUGACUGCGAGCGUGACGGCGCGAGCAGGUGCGAAAGCAGGUCAUAGUGAUCCGGUGGUUCUGAAUGGAAGGGCCAUCGCUCAACGGAUAAAAGGUACUCCGGGGAUAACAGGCUGAUACCGCCCAAGAGUUCAUAUCGACGGCGGUGUUUGGCACCUCGAUGUCGGCUCAUCACAUCCUGGGGCUGAAGUAGGUCCCAAGGGUAUGGCUGUUCGCCAUUUAAAGUGGUACGCGAGCUGGGUUUAGAACGUCGUGAGACAGUUCGGUCCCUAUCUGCCGUGGGCGCUGGAGAACUGAGG